AUGAACGGAAGUUACCAAAUUAUUCCAAAACAAACCCUUUUCAACAUCACCGUCAAUCGAUCCGACAACGACACGACGCGACGUCGUUGUCGUUCUCCUCCAGACAGAGAGCAUCACGGAGCAAACCGGACAACACUUGUAACAUCUGCCCCACCGCGCGCGUCGCCACUACAACUCCGCUCGCUUGCUUCGCACAGCAGCAAGCAGUAGCAGCACUCUGCUUUUCCGGCAACAUGUCACACUCAGCAACCGGGACGACCUGGCUCAGUCAGUUAACAGUAGCACCAUCGGCUUCCAUAUUUGAUAGGACUACAGAGGGGAGAGCGGGGUGAUGUGCGUCCACUGAAAAAAAUCUUAAACAAUCUAUUAUAAUUAAAUCAGCCUUAAUGAGGUUCUGAGAACCGUAACAAAACCUUAAUUCUUUGUUCUUGGUUACAAUGACUCUAAGGAACUCGUCAAAAUCAUGUCCAUUGUCUGCCCAUUGCCACGAGUAUCUAGCUAACAUUCCUUUCCAAGGCCAUUGAAGUUGCACCAUUUAACCCGAUCACCCCCUCUGCCAUAGUGGUGAUCCUUUCACACCGUCAAGCUUGGAGUCCGUCGCUGCUUCUGCCGAUGAUAGUUAUACGCUGGGCUGUUCUCUGGUUCUACACUGUGUAUGUGUGUGUGUUUGCAAGUGUGUGUGUGUGUGGGCGGCUGUCAAAUAUUUUAUCGUUUUCCAGCUCACCUCAUAAAUCAUCUCGCAAAAUUGCCACAUGAACAUGACAGUUUACAAAGUGGGCUGUGGUGGUGCUGCUCCUGAUGCUAUGCUGUAGCAGUACACAAAUUGCUUAUCGCUCGUCGCUGGUUCUCCGUUUUACCCGGCAUAGCAGCGCGAGAAGGGAUGAUGAAGAUGGUGCCAUUAGAGGAGUUAGCAGCGCAGCGCUGCCAACGCCACCAUUCUUGAGAUAUGUCCUUUUCCUCUCCUGGAGCUGUCAAUCGUGACAGUUUAGUGAGGUAAUAGUUGCUGUUCAGCUCUCCCUCGAGUGAAGUGUGUGAAAAAUAACGUUAUCACUAGCUUUGAUGAUAUUAUCGAGUUCUGUAUAUCUUGUUCAAAAGUUUUCUACAUUUUGUGCAGGCGUGAAUAUGUGGAAUUAAGUUCUUGUUCAAUCCAUUUAAGUACAGAAAUAUGGCCCAUGCUACACACUUAAAACAAAUUCUCGAGCUCGGCAAUCAAAAAUGCCGAGUGAGAACGGCAACUUGAAAAUUGCUGAUACUUCAGCAAUUUGAACUGUUAUUGCUGGGAUUCAGUAAACAUUUUUACUGAAAAUGCGGCAAAACAGAUCAAUUUGCCGAAUUUCGAUAAUAAAUAUUACUGAACUAUUCGGCAAUCAUUGAUUUAACCGGAAUCAGCAAAUGCGUUUGACGAGAUUUCGGUAAAUGCAUUACAUUUUGCUGAUAUUCGGUAAAGCAACUGUCACUUUGAGUCAUAUUCACGCCAUCCAUCAACGCCAUUGUUUUGAAGUGUUUGACCCUAGUUUUGAAGAUAAUUUUCAUCAAUUUAAUAAAUGUAGGGUAUCGGGAUGCUUCGUUGGCAUAGUCCCCUCGUUCGGCCUAUCUUAACGUUAUCCAAAAACUCAAACAAACACGCCGAACUGGAUAUCGGAAAAGCUUUGCGCCAAACACCUGUAACAUUUCGUUUCAAUUUUAGCACUUUGGAGUAUUAAAAUUGUAUGAAAAUGUCACUUUGUUUAGCUUUUGUAGACGCCAUGAUUCUUCGGCUUAGUGGGUAGUCUAUACACAUGAUCAUAAAUGGCAUGAUCCUGGAAUAUUUCGAAUUGCCUUUUCAAUAACUGAACAUUUGAUGCGACAGUCAAAGAUGCUAGUUUGAAUUUGUAUGUUUGUUUUUAACGAAUAAUUACUAUUUUACAAAUUACAUGUGGGCCGAAUAUUGAGGACACUUUUUUCACUAUGUACCCAAAUCUUGGCCCAUCAGUAAAGUGACGUCAAAAGCACCGAUAAAGUGACGCCAACAACAUUGCUUGCGUAAGAACCAGAAAGAACGAACAGAAAGAUAGAUUUUGUGUGCGGUGACUGUAAAAAUAUAACACAAUAAUCGGGUUGCAUUGUUUUCGAUACUUAAAAAGAAAGAACUUAAGUUUAAGUGAUUUAUUUAUAGUUUUUUGAAAAUUUGGCUCCGAAAAUGUAAUUUGAAAGUAUGAUUGGUGAACAAACAGAGAUAAUACCUCAGCAGAAAUAUUGUAAAAAUGAGAUAAUAAGUGGUUCUAGUGCAUGGAAAGCAAUAGGCCAACGUUGUAUCCACUAAUAGGCCAAUUUAUGUACCAUAGACCAACGUUGCAUACCAUCACAUCGAAUCUUUUCAACUUAGUUAAGUAAAUUCUUGAAUAUUUACGUAAAUUUACUUCCAGUUGGUGAAACAUGCAUUGCCUAGAGUGCGUAAUAGGGUCAACAUAUUAUUUGUAGUGCUAUUAAUUCAUGAGUAAUGGUCAAAAUUGUCAAGGCGGUUUGCAAAUUAGGCCAAGGAAUGAUCCAUAUACCCUAGAUUAGAUUAAGAAAUAGAAAAGUCAAGGCGGUGUUAUUCAAGUGUUGGUGCCCCAAUUGAUGAUACUGCGGAAGCCGUGGAAAAUAGUGCAGGCGUCGGACGUCUUUUUGACAAGCUUCCAGUCACAUACAAGCUGAUCCGGAACAAGCUCAGGAUUUUUCCAUUACCACUCAUCAUAGAUGAAUAUAAUUUGAAAUGCUGAAAUGAAAUAAACUACCACAAAAUCAAAAUAAA